ACAGCAGUCGCCACGGUAAGACAGAGGAUGCAAGCGUUAUCCGGAAUGAUUGGGCGUAAAGCGUCUGUAGGUGGCUUUUCAAGUCCGCCGUCAAAUCCCAGGGCUCAACCCCGGAACUGCAUCCGAUACUGCCAUGCUUGAGGGUUGGAGAGGUAGCUGGAAUUCUUGGUGUAGCAGUGAAAUGCGUGGAUAUCAAGAGGAACACUCGUGGCGAAGGCGAGCUACUGGACAACAUCUGACGCUGAGGCUCGAAGGCCAGGGUAGCGAAAGGGAUUAGAGACCCCCGUAGUCCCUGUCUCUUAUAC
rnacentral:rRNA from 1 species